rnacentral:rRNA from 1 species
GAUGAACGCUAGCGGCAGGCCUAACACAUGCAAGUCGUGGGAGAAGCCCUUUCGGGGGCAGAAACCGGCGCACGGGUGCGUAACGCGUAUGCAACCUACCUUUCACAGGGGGAUAGCCCGAAGAAAUUUGGAUUAAUACCCCAUAAUAUUAUUGGAUGGCAUCAUUUGAUAAUUAAAACUGCGGUGGUGAAAGAUGGGCAUGCGUCCUAUUAGCUAGUUGGAGUGGUAACGGCACCCCAAGGCUACGAUAGGUAGGGGUCCUGAGAGGGAGAUCCCCCACACUGGUACUGAGACAGGGACCAGACUCCUACGGGAGGCAGCAGUGAGGAAUAUUGGUCAAUGGUCGGAAGACUGAACCAGCCAUGCCGCGUGCAGGAAGAAUGCCUUAUGGGUUGUAAACUGCUUUUAUAUGGGAAGAAUAAGGUGUACGUGUACAUUGAUGACGGUACCAUAUGAAUAAGCAUCGGCUAACUCCGUG